UUGUCAGUGAGGUCAAUCCUUACCUGUUCCUCCUCCGGGAGAAACAGACAUGAUGAAUGGAGGAGGCUGAGUGUGUGAUUACACCGAACUCUGACACCGCCCUGACCGACAACUCGGGGCGUGUGACAUUCUGAG